GAUGAAGAACGCGGCGAAAUGCGAUAACUAAUGUGAAUUGCAGAAUUCCGUGAAUCAUCGAGUCUUUGAACGCACAUUGCGCCCCCUGGUAUUCCGGGGGGCAUGCCUGUCCGAGCGUCAUUGCUGCCCAUCAAGCACGGCUUGUGUGUUGGGUCCUCGUCCCCCCCGGGGGACGUGCCCGAAAGGCAGCGGCGGCACCGCGUCCGGUCCUCGAGCGUAUGGGGCUUUGUCACCCGCUCUGCAGGCCCGGCCGGCGCUGGCCGACGCGAAAGCAACCAUUUUUUCUCCAGGUUGACCUCGGAUCAGGUAGGGAUACCCGCUGAACUUAAGCAUAUCAAUAAGCGGAGGA
rnacentral:misc_RNA from 1 species